GCAGUCGAGCGGACUGAUUAAGAGCUUGCUCUUAUGACGUUAGCGGCGGACGGGUGAGUAACACGUGGGCAACCUGCCCUGUAGAUCGGGAUAACACCGAGAAAUCGGUGCUAAUACCGGGUAACAUCUGAGAUCACAUGAUCUUAGGUUAAAAGAUGGCUCCGGCUAUCACUACAGGAUGGGCCCGCGGCGCAUUAGCUAGUUGGUAAGGUAAUGGCUUACCAAGGCGACGAUGCGUAGCCGACCUGAGAGGGUGAUCGGCCACACUGGGACUGAGACACGGCCCAGACUCCUACGGGAGGCAGCAGUAGGGAAUCUUCCGCAAUGGACGAAAGUCUGACGGAGCAACGCCGCGUGAGUGAUGAAGGGUUUCGGCUCGUAAAGCUCUGUUGUUAGGGAAGAACAAGUAUCGUUCGAAUAGGGCGGUACCUUGACGGUACCUAACCAGAAAGCCACGGCUAACUACGUGCCAGCAGCCGCGGUAAUACGUAGGUGGCAAGCGUUGUCCGGAAUUAUUGGGCGUAAAGCGCGCGCAGGCGGUCUUUUAAGUCUGAUGUGAAAGCCCCCGGCUCAACCGGGGAGGGUCAUUGGAAACUGGGAGACUUGAGUACAGAAGAGGAGAGUGGAAUUCCACGUGUAGCGGUGAAAUGCGUAGAUAUGUGGAGGAACACCAGUGG
rnacentral:rRNA from 1 species